CCCCAUGAGUUAAUUUGUUAAGCAGAGAUAGAAGUGCUUGCAAGUCCCUGCAGGGCUUAGUCCUGGAAACCUGACGGGGCCACAGAGAAAACGAAGGACUGAUACAGACACAGGUACAGACACAGACACAGACACAGACACACACACAGACACACACACAGACACACACACAGACACAGACACAGACACACACACAGACACAGACACAGACACAGACACACACACACACACAGACACACACACAGACACACACACAGACACACACACAGACACAGACACAGAAAAGCGGAAUGGAGUGGACCUUGUUUAUUAUGGAC
ensembl:lncRNA